GUAGGUGGCAAGCGUUGUCCGGAAUUAUUGGGCGUAAAGCGCGCGCAGGCGGUUCUUUAAGUCUGAUGUGAAAGCCCACGGCUCAACCGUGGAGGGUCAUUGGAAACUGGAGAACUUGAGUACAGAAGAGGAAAGCGGAAUUCCACGUGUAGCGGUGAAAUGCGUAGAGAUGUGGAGGAACACCAGUGGCGAAGGCGGCUUUCUGGUCUGUAACUGACGCUGAGGCGCGAAAGCGUGGGGGGAGCAAACAGGAUUAGAUACCCUGGUAGUCCACGCCGUAAACGAUGAGUGCUAAGUGUUAGGGGGUUUCCGCCCCUUAGUGCUGCAGCUAACGCAUUAAGCACUCCCGCCUGGGAGUACGGCCGCAAGGCUG
rnacentral:rRNA from 1 species